rnacentral:rRNA from 1 species
UUAAUCGGAGAGUUCCCUUCGGGGACAUUGGUGACAGGUGGUGCAUGGUUGUCGUCAGCUCGUGUCGUGAGAUGUUGGGUUAAGUCCCGCAACGAGCGCAACCCUUGUCUUUAGUUGCCAUCAUUAAGUUGGGCACUCUAGAGAGACUGCCAGGGAUAACCUGGAGGAAGGUGGGGAUGACGUCAAAUCAUCAUGCCCCUUAUGCUUAGGGCUACACACGUGCUACAAUGGGUAGUACAGAGGGUUGCCAAGCCGUAAGGUGGAGCUAAUCCCUUAAAGCUACUCUCAGUUCGGAUUGUAGGCUGAAACUCGCCUACAUGAAGCUGGAGUUACUAGUAAUCGCAGAUCAGAAUGCUGCGGUGAAUGCGUUCCCGGGUCUUGUACACACCGCCCGUCACACCACGGGAGUUGGAGACGCCCGAAGCCGAUUAUCUAACCUUUUGGA